GGUCCCCGCCGCCUCUGCCUGGCUCUAAGGCGGGAGGGACAGCGAGCAGCAGCUGCAGCAGCCAAACCUCCGCUCCCGCCUCAGGGCUCUUUUAUCCCCCCCACGCCAGCCGGCUGAAGAGCAACGUCAAACAAGUGGGUAGAUACAUCAGAAGCAAGAACUAAAAGAAUAAAACCCCGAACAGCCGUCAAUGUAUAUUCUGAGAGCCUUGUUAAAAAUUUACUGAUCUGUGAGAGGAUCUUUCAUCUUAUCCCA